rnacentral:sRNA from 1 species
AAAAUAUGAAGGAUAGUUUGGAACAGUUGACGAUAUAAAGAAAUUUGGUGGA